AAGUCGUAACAAGGUUUCCGUAGGUGAACCUGCGGAAGGAUCAUUACAAUACUUUUACAAGUAUCCACCCAAAUUGUUGCACUGAAUGAGCGUCCGAUAGGAAAUACAAGUGGUUUGAGAGAAUUGGCGGCUUCGUGAAGUGCUUCGGCAUUUCGGUCAGUUCUCGAUUUCUCGCAAGCAAUUGUGUGAAAGCCCUUUUUUUUUCCUAGUUCGCGUAUUUUUUCUCCUUUUUUAAAUUUUUUUAACCCCUUUCACCAAAUUACAAUUUAAACAACUUUAUUGAACUGAAUUCGAAGGAUGCUGAAAAGCGUCUAAUUCGAUUCGAUCUUUUUACGAAAUGUAAGAACAACUCUUAACAACGGAUAUCUUGGCUCUC
rnacentral:misc_RNA from 1 species